UGGUAGAUGCACCCUGAUCCAGCCCCUGGAGGUUAGCCUCCGGGGCUUUUUUUG
rnacentral:sRNA from 1 species